GGUUUGAGCGGUGAACCGGGCGAGCCUGGUGAAAGUGGACAAAGAGGACCACUGGGGCCUAAAGGAGCCAAAGGUGACGCGGGUGUUGGAAUAGUCGGUCCUCCGGGACAAUCUGGACCUGCAGGCUUAAAGGUAGUAAAUGUAUGAUGCUUCCACCGCAACACUCGUCUUCUCAAAGCGAUGGUGAAAAUCUGCUGCACACGCGACCAUCCACAGUUAAAUGCCAGUCUUGUCACGAGUCGCCUUAUUCCGAAAAUGCUAACAAGCACGAGGCACUCAGUUUUACGUGCCGAAACCUUGCUUUAAAAAAAAGAAGAAGAAGAAGUUGUCGCCGUUCAAUUAGUGGCACUUCAAUCACCUGCGUGUUCUUCCGACCUUUUAUUCCUUUCGGUGAAAAACCCAAUUUGCCGUCGGAUUCGCACACGUUAAACGACGCGGUCACGCACCGCGCACAGCCGACAACGCGCGAAUACGGUUACUGAGCACGCAGCGCCGUGCUAGUCAC
ensembl:lncRNA